GAUGAACGCUGGCGGCGUGCCUAAUACAUGCAAGUCGAGCGAACAGACGAGGAGCUUGCUCCUCUGACGUUAGCGGCGGACGGGUGAGUAACACGUGGAUAACCUACCUAUAAGACUGGGAUAACUUCGGGAAACCGGAGCUAAUACCGGAUAAUAUAUUGAACCGCAUGGUUCAAUAGUGAAAGACGGUUUUGCUGUCACUUAUAGAUGGAUCCGCGCCGCAUUAGCUAGUUGGUAAGGUAACGGCUUACCAAGGCAACGAUGCGUAGCCGACCUGAGAGGGUGAUCGGCCACACUGGAACUGAGACACAGUCCAGACUCCUACGGGAGGCAGCAGUAGGGAAUCUUCCGCAAUGGGCGAAAGCCUGACGGAGCAACGCCACGUGAGUGAUGAAGGUCUUCGGAUCGUAAAACUCUGUUAUUAGGGAAGAACAAAUGUGUAAGUAACUAUGCACGUCUUGACGGUACCUAAUCAGAAAGCCACGGCUAACUACGUG
rnacentral:rRNA from 1 species